UGGGGAAUAUUGCACAAUGGAGGGAACUCUGAUGCAGCGACGCCGCGUGAACGAAGAAGGCUUUCGAGUCGUAAAGUUUUUUUAUAGGGGAAGAUAAUGACGGUACCAUAAGAAAAAGCCCCGGCUAACUACGUGCCAGCAGCCGCGGUAAUACGUAGGGGGCUAGCGUUGUCCGGAAUCACUGGGCGUAAAGGGUUCGCAGGCGGAAAUGCAAGUCAGGUGUAAAAGGCAGUAGCUUAACUACUGUAAGCAUUUGAAACUGCAUAUCUUGAGAAGAGUAGAGGUAAGUGGAAUUUUUAGUGUAGCGGUGAAAUGCGUAGAUAUUAAAAAGAAUACCGGUGGCGAAGGCGACUUACUGGGCUCAUUCUGACGCUGAGGAACGAAAGCGUGGGUAGCAAACAGG
rnacentral:rRNA from 1 species